rnacentral:tRNA from 1 species
GCUGUUUUGGCAGAUUAAGUGCAUUAAAUUUAGAAUUUAAACAAGUGAUUAAAUAAUUACAUACAGUA